rnacentral:ncRNA from 1 species
CAAAGGCAUGGUCCCGACCUUUCUAUCAGCCUUAACUCAACUUACACAUGCAAGUAUCCGCAGCCCCGUGAAUAUGCCCCAACCCCCUAAUAAGGGAACAAGGAGCAGGCAUCAGGAACAAAACUUUUAGCCCAAGACGCCUAGCUAAGCCACACCCCCAAGGGAAUUCAGCAGUGAUAAACAUUAAGCCAUGGGUGAAAGCCCGACUUAGUUAGAGUUAAAAGGGCCGGUAAAAUUCGUGCCAGCAACCGCGGUUAAACGAAUGACCCUAGUUGAUAGACCCACGGCGUAAAGGGUGGUUAAGGAGAACAAAAAUAAAGCUAAAUGGCCCAUUGGCUGUCAUACGCUUCUAGGAGUCCGAAACCCAAAUACGAAAGUUACUUUAAUUUAAAUACCUGACCCCACGAAAGCUGAGAAACAAACUGGGAUUAGAUACCCCACUAUGCUCAGCCACAAACAAAGACACACAUUUACAAUGGUGUCCGCCCGGGUAUUACGAGCAUCAGCUUAAAACCCAAAGGACCUGACGGUGCCUUAGACCCCCCUAGAGGAGCCUGUUCUAUAACCGAUAAUCCCCGUUAAACCUCACCAUUUCUGGUCAACCCAGCCUAUAUACCACCGUCGCCAGCUUACCCUGUGAAGGAGUUAGAGUAAGCAAAAAGAGUACUACUCAAAACGUCAGGUCGAGGUGUAGCGAACGAAAUGGGAAGAAAUGGGCUACAUUUUCUAUCUCAGAAUAUAACGAAUAUGCAUCAUGAAACAAUGCUUAAAGGAGGAUUUAGUAGUAAAAAGGAAAUAGAGUGUCCUUUUGAACCCGGCUCUGAGGCGCGUACACACCGCCCGUCACUCUCUCCCGUCAUAAUGUAUAAAAACCUACCUAACACAAAAGCACUGACAAGGAGAGGCAAGUCGUAACAAGGUAAGUGUACCGGAAGGUGCACUUGGAUAACC